CCCUUAGAUGUUCUGGGCCGCACGCGCGCUACACUGUUUGAUUCAGCGAGUCUUAACCUUGACCGAAAGGUUUGGGUAAUCUUCUAAAGUCAAACGUGAUGGGGAUCGAUCAUUGCAAUUAUUGAUCGUGAACGAGGAAUUCCUAGUAAAUGCAAGUCACCAGCUUGCGUUGAUUACGUCCCUGCCCUUUGUACACACCGCCCGUCGCUACUACCGAUUGAAUGGUUUAGUGAGAUCUCCGGAUUGGCUCUGUAGGUCCCGCAAGGGAUUUAUUAGUAGCCAAGAAGCUGCUCAAACUUGAUCAUUUAGAGGAAGUAAAAGUCGUAACA
rnacentral:rRNA from 1 species